rnacentral:rRNA from 1 species
GACGAACGCUGGCGGCGUGCCUAAUACAUGCAAGUAGAACGCAGUUGCGAACGGGUGAGUAACGCGUAGGUAACUGCCUGGUAGCGGGGGAUAACUAUUGGAAACGAUAGCUAAUACCGCAUACUACCAGAUGGACCUGCGUUGUAUUAGCUAGUUGGUGGGGUAAUGGCCUACCAAGCCGACGAUCUCUAGCUGGUCUGAGAGGAUGACCGGCCACACCGGGACUGAGACACGGCCCGGACUCCUACGGGAGGCAGCAGUGGGGAAUAUUGCACAAUGGGCGCAAGCUUGAUGCAGCCAUGCCGCGUGUAUGAAGAAGGCCUUCGGGUUGUAAAGUACUUUCAGCGGGGAGCGUUACCCGCAGAAGAAGCACCGGCUAACUCCGUGCCAGCAGCCGCGGUAAUAC